GUUGGUGAUGCUGAGCUUCUUUAUUUCUUUUGUUCUUUUGUAGACAUUUACAGAGGGUGAACUUAUGUUAAUGUGCAACAAACUGAACAACAUCCCUCCUUUUGUUUUAUUGCUGAAUGUUAUGCUGUGACUGAAAAGCAAAUUUGGCUCUCAUGUCAUGUUUUGUGAAGUUCAUUUAGGUUGUGAUAUAAGUUUUUUGGUGCUUCCCUUUCAUUUGGAAAAGGGUAAACGGUUGAUUAAGCAUUAAAGCUAUACAUAUUAUUCUGAGUAACUUCCAAGGCGGUUUCUACUAAAUAUUUUUCCUUUAAUCCUUUCAUUCAGGCAGUUACAGCAAAAGGAGGUGGUUAGAUUCAAGAUUACACUACCACAAAACAGGUCAUGUCAACACUGUAAAAAAUCAUCAUUCAGAUGAUUUUUGAAGCGCCUGGUCUACUUUUCUUCACCAGAUACAGAGAUGUUGGUAAUGGCAACUGUACAUUUGUUUCUGACUUUCUUUAAAUGAACUCAUGAGCCCACUAGGUCUGUCCAGUUAAUCAUUUGUCUACUGGAACUCUGUGCUAUGUGAUUGAUAUUUCCCUGGUUAGGUGCAGAACCUGAACCUAAAGACUGAUGUAAAGACAUGUCCUGGUAUUUGGCUCUCUGGAACUCUAAAUAAUGGAAUUCUUGACCUGCACAGCAGCUAUGGUCCUGACUAGAGAUGAAAUUUAUAACGACAUACAUGUCUUACUUAGAACAACACAGGGUCUUAGAUAUAGUUCCCUUUGUACUGGUGCAGAACUUGUGAAAAUGUACAACAAAACCAAAGAACCUUGUUUAUUUAUUUAUUUAUUGCUAGUAUUUGGCUUUAUUAUUAUGUAGCCUUGCAAAUUGAUAGGGUACUUAUUUGAAUUGAUAGGCCUCUGUUUUAUGUGAUUCGACACACUUUAUUUGAAGAUGCUUGGAUAUAAGCAGUACAUGCAUUGUAGUGUCUUCUAAUAAUGUAAUAGUCGAUGUUUAUUUGAGUGUUCUUGUUGCUUCUUAUAGCUGCAUAGGGUCUUAGAUUAGUUCUCAGUGUGUUGAUUCUGCCUGUGUAAAUGUACAACAAACUGAAAAACCACUUGUGGUACCUGUAUUGGGAAGUCCACUUUCUCUUGUAACAUUGUAUAUUCCCUUGCACCUGGAAAGAGUAAAUGGGCACGAGAUUAAGCAUUAAAAUUGCACAUAUUAUUCUGUUAUUCAGAGUAUUGAUUUCUGCUUCUUUGUUUUUUGGUGAUUGUUUCAAAUGCAAACUUAUUGCUAUUGGUACCACACUUUACCCAUUUUCUACCUAGUUUCAAAUUCCUGGGGAUGUUUUCUGCUGAAUACUUUUCUUAAUUCUUUCAUUCAGAGUACAGUUGAAAGAGGUUUUUCUGUCUUUCCCCUUUUUGGACUCAAACUAUGGUAGGCUUAUGCCACCUAUCUGACUAAAUCUUUUACCCAAAGCAUAGGGAACAAAUGAUACAGUAGCAUGCCGAGGUACAAGUGGCUGCACAUCUGCAAAUUCGACGUCAAUUAAUUUUAGGACAAUUCUCUACCUAUUGGGAUUCACAAUUUCACAGUAGUAUGAACCUUGAGCUUUAUAUAGGCAUAAGAGAUUCGGAGUAGCAGUUUGUGCAAUGAUGCUUCCGCAUGUUCAUCAGUUGAUAUCGAAUCACUGCCUUACUAGUGCGUUGAUUGCUGAACAGUAAGACUUGAGCUUUUGAUCAAACUAGAGUAACAUUGAACAAACUUCAGAUCAGAGAUGUUUGUUGCUUGCCUCAAUCAUUUCGCAGUCUAUGUUUUUCUUAAGACAGUUUCUUUCUCUAUGGAGUGUUCUAGCUUAGAUACUGAAAAACUUCUUUAUUGGAAGGGUGUAGGCUCACAGUAUGUAUUUCUCUAUUUUUAUUUGUUUACUCUUCAGGUUUGGUACAAUAAUACCUGACCAAAUGUGCACAAUCUGUUUGUUAGAAGCUGACAUAUGUAGAUUUGAAGAAGGUGCAAUUUGGUCAGUUUUUGCUCUGUCCGUCCAUUUAUUUAUAUAUAUGUUAUAUGACCUAUGCAUAGCAUGGACAAAUUCAGGAUUAUUUUGUACCCAGCUGACAGGCCAUAAUUUAGUUUCAUGAAUCAGGGCAGUGUAUUGUACGUACCUAUGCUCCAUUCUAGUAAGAAAAGGAAACGCUUUAGUAGGAAGAGAAGAGUCGGUUACUCUGUUUCCAAGUACCAGGUGUUUGAUACUGCAGAGACUCAUGUCAAAUGUCAAACACCUAGCUAGGAUUCCAGUAAGAGUUUUGAGCUUUUGAUCAAACUACAGUAACAUUGAAGAUUUAACUAAGUUCAGAUUAGAGAUGUCUGCUGCUUGUCUUGGUCAUUAUCACUUUGUUUUUCCGAAGACAGUUUCUUUGUAUGGAGUGUUCUAGUAUAGAGGCUCACUCUAUGCAGCUCUGUCAUGUUUAUUAAUUUACUUUUCAGGUUUGGUACAGUAAUAAUUUUAUUCAAGUGUCCAUGUUUGGAGCAGGAUAUGAACAUCUGACGAAAUGUGGGCAGUAUGACUUUUAGAGGCUGACAUAUGCAGAUUUGAAGCAGGAAGAGAAGUGUCCUUUAUCUUGUCAACCACCCUGCCGAUGGAGGAAGAAACUUGGCAAGACAAAAACACUGUUUGCAAGUUGACGUCUCCGGAGGGUCCAAGGACGGGAGAAGACAAAACAAGAGUCGCAGCAGGGUCCAUCACAGUUGCGUUUGGCCUCGUCGGUUCGUCCUCAUCUCAUCUCGGAGCCGCCAAGGCAAGUUCGCAUCAGAAUUUUCAGAACGAACUUCUCGGCGCUUUCCCUUCCCACUCCCAGGCAGCUUCUCUCCCCUCCUUUCUCCCUCUGAAAGGAAAAGAAAAAGAUUCCGUUUUUUAUCCAUCCACCAGUCUACCACAACAUUCAAAGCUUCCAUUUUUUUUUAUGCCGCCCAACCCAGAUUACCCAGCCUGGCAUCCAUGGCUGCCUCGCCGGAGGAUUUCGUGGCUGAACCCGCCGAGCCGCCCUUCUCCCCCUCCAUCUUCCUCGACCUGCCCCCGACGCCCUGCCCCGACGGCAAUGGCGAGGGCAAGGACCCGGCCUCCGACGACCUCGGCCUCCCCUUCAUCGAGCGGAUGCUCAUGGAAGAGGGGAUCCACGAAGAGUUCUUCUACCAGUACCCCGACCACCCCGCGCUCCUCCAAGCCCAGGAAUCGUACGCACGGGUCCUCUCCGACGCCACCGCGGAUUCCACUUCGUACGGCAGCCCCACCGUGUCGGUGUCCUCCUCCGGCUCCGACGACCUCACCACGGACGCCAGUACCGGUUCCGAGCAGAGCCCGGCGCAAGCGCAACUGAGGGAUGGUGGCGCCCGGAGUGACGCCGCCGCCGCGGAGGAGGAGAUGGAGGAAAAGGCCAACAGCACCAUGCUUGCAGCCGUCGAUGAUGACCACGCCGCACUGGCCUCGGCGUUCUUCAGCGCCCAGCAGGAUGCGGGGAGCAACGCCAUGCUCAACUUGGCAUUCCUCAAGGGCAUGGAAGAGGCCAACAAGUUCCUGCCUAGAGACAUCGACCUGCUGCGCGGCUCUGCCACCGUCCUUCAAGUGAAGGAAGAGGCAGAGGAGGAGGGAACUGCCAAUUUGGGCAGGGGCCGCAAGAACCUGCACAACUGGGAUGAUGUCCUGGAGGCCAAUUUGGGCAGGGAGAGGAAGAUGAUGGCGCCGGAGCCAGAGGAAUCUGGUGAGGUGGUUGAUGAAAUGAUUGCCAAUGGGUUCCAAUUGUUCCUCAGAGAGGUGGAGAGCCUCCGCAUCAGUAUGGGCAGCGAGGCUGAGAAGAAGAAGAGCAGGAAAGGGAAUGCACGGAGCGCCAAUGGAGUGGCGGACUUGUGCGCCUUGCUCAUGCAUUGUGCACAGGCUGUGGCAAUGGACGACCGCUGCAGUGCGGCUGAACUACUUAGGAAGAUCAAGAAGCACUCUUCUCCACGGGGAGACGCCGCACAAAGGCUGGCACGUUAUUUCGCUGAGGGAUUGGAGGCACGGCUGGCUGGUUCAGGGAGCCCGGUGUACAAUUCGCUCAUGGCAAAGCGCACCUCUGUUGUGGACUUCCUCAAAGCCUACCGGCUAUACGCAGCGGCCUGCUGCUUCAGAAUGAUGGCGUUCAAGUUCGCGAACCUGACCAUUUCCAAGGCUAUUGCAGGGAGGAAGAAGGUACACAUUGUUGAUUACGGCAUACAUUACGGGUCCCAGUGGCCUGGUUUGCUGAAAAUUUUAACUCUAUGGCCGGGAGGGCCACCAGAAGUGAGGAUUACUGGCAUUGAUCUUCCCCAGCCUGGGUUCCGCCCAGCUGCUCGGGUCAAGGAGACAGGGCGACGGCUUAGCAGUUAUGCCUCUCAGUUUGGUGUACCGUUCAAGUACCGUGGCAUUGCGGCUAAGUGGGAGACGGUUGGCGUUGAUGAUUUGGACAUCGACCCUGAUGAGGUACUCAUUGUCAAUAGCAUCCUCCAUUUUGGAAACUUGAUGGACGAAGGUGUCGACAUGAGUAGCCCAAGCCCGAGGGAUGUUGUUCUCAGCAACAUCCGGAAGAUGCGACCAGAUGUGUUCAUCCUUUUCAUCAUGAAUGGCACAUAUAGCUCACCGUAUUUUGUACCACGGUUCCGGGAGGCGCUAUUCCACUACUCUGCAAUGUUUGACAUGAUGGAUGCCACAACUCCACGGGAUAGUGAUCUGCGCGUUCUGGUUGAGCGUGAUCUCUUCGGCCAGUGUGCCCAAAAUGUCAUCGCUUGUGAAGGCUUGGACAGGGUGGAGCGCCCUGAGACAUAUAAGAAGUGGCAGUUGCGGAACCACCGGGCAGGGCUGAGACAGCUGUCAUUGGAUCCAGAUAUUGUCAAGGCCGUGCAGGAGAGUGUCAGGGACAAAUUUCAUGAGGACUUUGUCACUGAUGUGGAUCUUCAGUGGCUCCUGGGAGGGUGGAAGGGACGCAUACUCUAUGCAAUGUCGACAUGGGCUGCAGCUGAUGCUAUCUAGGAUUCUUAGCUGCUUUAAUUUACUGGAUUCAGAGAUAUAGUCUAGGUAAUGGCACCCAUAUUUGUUAGUGUGUCAAUGAACUGGUUCUGCUCUGCAGCUGUAUGUUUCAAGGCACUUAGUUCCAAAAUGACUGGGACUAGAGUUGAAAUUUCCGAGGUACAGCUGAAGGAGGUGGUUAGAUUCAAGAUUACACUACCACAAAACAAGUAACUGCACAGUGUAAAAGAUGAUCAUAUCAGACGUUUUUUGAAGCUUCUGUUCUCGAGGGUAGCAGAGAUGUUGGUAAUGGCAACUGUACAGAUGUUUCUGACUUCCUCUGGAUGAAUUCAUGAAUCUAAUAAGUGUCUCCAGUUAAUUGUUUGCAUUGUCUACUGGAAACCUGUGCUAUGUGACCAAUAUUUUCCCGGUUGGGUGUAGAGCCUGAACCUAAAAACUGAUGUAAAGACUUGUCCGAUUUGGCUCUCCAGAACUCUAAAAAAGAUUAAUUCUUGAACUGCACAGCUGCUGGGGUUCAUUCUUGCAAGAUGGCUUAGACUAGAGAUGAAUUUAUAGUGAUAUACAUAUACAUGUAUUUCUUAGAACAACACAAGGUCUUAGAUAAUAGAUAUAGUUCCCUGUGUGCUGGUGCAGAACUUAUCAAAAUGUAAAACAAAACUGAAGAACCCUGUUUAUUUAUUUAUUUAUUUAUUCAUUGCUA